AGUGAACGCUGGCGGCGUGCCUAAUACAUGCAAGUCGAACGGAGUGGCGCACGGGUGAGUAAUGUAUAGCUAAUCUGCCCUACACUAGAGGACAACAGUUGGAAACGACUGCUAAUACUCUAUAGUGUAGGAUGAGGCUAUAUGGUAUCAGCUAGUUGGUGAGGUAAUGGCUCACCAAGGCUAUGACGCAUAACUGGUCUGAGAGGAUGAUCAGUCACACUCGAACGGAGACACGGUCCAGACUCCUGCGGGAAGCAGCCGUAGGGAGUAGUGCUCAAUGGGGGAAACCCUGGAGCGGCACCGCGGCGUGGAGGAUGACACUUUUCGGAGCAUAAACUCCUUUUGUUAGGGAAACGGUACCUAACGAAUAAGCACCGGCUAACUCCGUGCCAGCCGCCGCGGUAAUAC
rnacentral:rRNA from 1 species